ACUAAAAAAAUUAAAGAAAAAUAAAAACAAAGUAAAGUAAAACAAAAAAAAAUUAAGGAAAAAUAAAAUAAAACCUGCGCGCAAAUUUUCUCCUUGUAGACUACCUGCACAUGACAACAACAACAUUACAAAACAUUGCCUUAAAAUGAAUUCUUGAAACGCAUUUAUUUUCAACAAAAAAGAUAUUAAUAAUUUUAAUUUAUGCCGCUUAAAAGCAACCAAGUAAACCAACGCGCAACCUCACCCAACAAAAGUACUUGAAGUAAAAACAACAACAACAACAACCAACCAACUACCUACGCCCCAUAAAGGCAAAUACACAACCUAAAUGGAUUUAUAUUGUUAUCAGCCAACACCACCUGCCUCACUCAUGGAUUAUCCCGUUGGACCACAUCAACUGCAAAACGGCAGCAGCAGUGUUGGUGGCAUUGUCAAUAACACUAAUGUAUAUUUCAAUAAUAUUUAUACGAAUGGCGGCGGCAACAACAAUAAUAAUAGCAACAACAAUAACAGUAGUAAUCAUUAUAAUCAUCAUAGUAAUAGUGAUAGCUCAUCGGUGACGACGACAACAACAACAGCGACAAAUUUUGUUGAUUGCAUCGGUCUGGAGGGCGGUUUUGAUUUCUACAGUGAUCGAGUGACAAAGCGCGCAUUUUAAAUAAAAGCAAGCAAUUGAGCUUGUUUGAAGCUAACGCAGAAACAGCUAUACAAAUAAAUUUUUUUGAGAUUUGAAAUAAGUGCAUGCAAUUUAACAAGAAAAUAUACCAGUGCAAAAAUAUAAAACGCAAGCAUGUAUUUCGUGCACAAAUUAGUACGCAAAAAGUAAUCAAACCAGAAUAACAAUUAGUGAAAUAUUAUUGAAAAAAAAUAUUAAAUUUCUUUAAAAAGCAAAAUUUACACACAAUCAUAAAUUUACAAAAACAAAAAGUGUUUAAAAAAAGUAGUUACACAAGUCUGCUGAGCAGCACAAAACUACGCGCAAGUGAACAACGUGUCCAACAAACACACCCAUACACACAACCACACUGAACCCAAUCAAAUUCACCACCACCCUGACUGGCCA